rnacentral:lncRNA from 1 species
GGCCUCCUCCACGGCCGCGCCCGGAACAUCAGCAACCUCGCUGCUUCUUGGCACGGGAUCGCCUACGAGACUAUACAUUCCGACGUCGUCCAGGAUCUGCUCCGCGGCCCCGACGAACCCCGGCGGCCUACAAUAACGGAAAGGCUCUCCAAAGUGAUCGAAGAGGUGAAAUUCUUCCCCCACUACGCGCACCACGUCGCGACGAGCGAUCACGUCGGCGACGUCCUCAAGAGGAUUUACAUGAUACCGGAAGAACGAGUUCACAUCAUCGUGAACGGGGUGGCCGAGAGCAUCUACAGGCCAGACCAAAAGAUGGGAGAGGAGUUUAGGAGGAAGGUCGGGGUACCUGACCGCGCGAGAUUAGUGAUAGGACUAGCAGGAAGGCUGGUGAAGGACAAAGGACACCCUCUCAUGUUCGAGGCACUGAAGCAGGUCUUUGGUGAGGAAGAGAGAUUCCAGAGGGACGUCUUUGUUCUGGUUGCUGGGGAUGGGCCGUGGGGCAACAGGUACAAGGAGCUCGGACGAAACAUCAUCGUUCUUGGUCCUCUGGAGCAAAGCGAGCUUGCAAAGUUCUACAACUCACUCGACGUUUACUUGAAUCCGACCCUCAGAGCACAGGGACUGGAUCAUACCUUCAUCGAAGCAAUGCUGUCAGGGGUGGCCAUCGCCGGCACACGGUUCGCGAGCAUUACAGGCUCUCUGAUAGUAGGAUCGAACGUCGGUUACACGUUCUUGCCAACAGUCGAGUCACUGAAGGAGUCCCUGUACAAGAUUAUGAAGGAUGGGAAGCAGGUUCUGUCGAAGAAAGGGGAGGUCGCCAGGAGCAGAGCGCUGCAUCUGUUUACGGCCACGAAGAUGGCCGCUGCUUACGAGAGACUCUUCCAGUGCAUCUCCAAGGAACCUGCAGUAAAGGACAACAUCGAUUACUGCCGAUACCCUCUUCCAUGGGAUUCGGGUAAACUGAAGUAAGACUCAUUUGAUGGUACGAGAUGGAAGUGAGAGUAUUGAAGCGUUUACAGUGGCAGUUUUCACAGGGUUGAUGAAGCUGAGAAAUUUGGGAGGAUGCACAUAUAAAACAGCCUUCAGAUUGAUCCAUAAGCAUCACCAUUUAGAUAGCUGCCAAUGAGCUGUGGAUCCACCUGGAUUGCUACGACGAUCCCCAGGGCGCAAAAUCUUGCGGACUGCUGGGGCUGC